GACGAACGCUGGCGGCGUGCUUAACACAUGCAAGUCGAACGGAAAGGCCCCUUUGGGGGUACUCGAGUGGCGAACGGGUGAGUAACACGUGAGUAACCUGCCCUUGACUUCGGGAUAACUUCAGGAAACUGGGGCUAAUACCGGAUAGGAAUCCUUGCUGCAUGGUGGGGGUUGGAAAGCUUCGGCGGUUUUGGAUGGACUCGCGGCUUAUCAGCUUGUUGGUGGGGUAGUGGCUUACCAAGGCUUUGACGGGUAGCCGGCCUGAGAGGGCGACCGGCCACAUUGGGACUGGGAUACGGCCCAGACUCCUACGGGAGGCAGCAGUGGGGAAUAUUGCACAAUGGGCGGAAGCCUGAUGCAGCAACGCCGCGGGCGGGAUGACGGCCUUCGGGUUGUAAACCGCUUUCAGCAGGGGCGAAGCUUGUGGUGACGGUACCUGCAGAAGAAGCACCGGCUAACUACGUG
rnacentral:rRNA from 1 species